UCAACUUUGAUAAUAAUAAUAAUGCUUCUUGAGCAGCGAAGCAGCUUUUUAGAAUCAUUUCUGAAGCAUUGUGUGACAGAAGACUGGAUGGCUAUAAGAGGCUUCUUACAAAAACAUUUUAAAAACUUACUGACCACAGACCUUGUAAUUGUAUAUUAUGGAAUCAUAGAUGAAUUUAUAGCACAGAGAAAACAUUCAAAUUAGUGUGAUUGGCUCUUUCUUCUGGUCCCCAAAUCUUAAAUAUGGACAUGAUGUUGCUCAGAGAGGAGGGACUCAGAGGUCACAGAUCUGACAUGAUCUCAUCGUGUCUGAAAGAGACUGUGGAUGAAACGAUUCAGUCUGACUCUUCUCGAAGUGAACACUUGCACAAUGGAUCUUCUGUCAGUUAUUCUGUUCUGUGCUUCAGCUGCUUCUGUCUUUGGAAAUACCAUCAAAUCAGACCAAACAUAUGUUGGUGCUGACGAGGGACGAAAUGUAAAAUUGUCCUGUAGUUAUACCUCAACUGGGGUUACAGAGUAUCUCUUCUGGUACCGUCAGAAUGGAAGAUCAAAUCCUGAAUUUCUUGUAUCAACCCACAGUGCUGCAAAAGGUGCUGAGGUGUCUGAUGUAGAUUCAAGACUCUCUGUUAAAGUCACAAAAGGGGAACAAAUCCAUGUGUAUCUGGAGAUCUCCUCUGCUGAAGUGUCAGACUCUGCUGUCUAUUACUGUGCUCUGAGGCCCACAGUCACAGGAAACACAAGAACACUGUACAAAAACCUUAUUCAAUCCACUGAGAACAAGCAAUAGACAGAAACAGUUCUGUUCAGUGUAUAAAGCGAUGAUGUGAUAUGAAUCUUGCAAUCAAUAUAUUGUAUUGCUACAAGAUAAACAAUAGCA